rnacentral:tRNA from 1 species
GCCACGGUGGUCUAGCGGAUAGAACACUGGCCUUGUAAUCCUGGAGUCUCGGGUUCGAUUCCCGGCGGUGCCC